rnacentral:rRNA from 1 species
CAAUAGCGUAUAUUAAAGUUGUUGCAGUUAAAAAGCUCGUAGUCGGAUUUCGACCACAGCUGUGCGGUCCGCUAAGCGCGGCUACUGCACGGUUGGGUCUCUUAUCUGGUCUGUCCCAUGCUACUCUUGACUGAGUGGCUUGGGUAGCCGGAACGUUUACUUUGAGAAAAUCAGCGUGCUCAAAGCAGGCUUACUGCUCGAAUAGUAGUGCAUGGAAUGAUAGAAUAGGACCGUCGGUCUUAUUUGUUGGUUUUUGGACCGAGGUAAUGGUUAAUAGAGACAGACGGGGGCAUUCGUACUGCGGUGUUAGAGGUGAAAUUCGAAGAUCGCCGCAAGACGAACCACAGCGAAAGCAUUUGCCAAGGAUGCCUUCAUUGAA